CGCCUGUUUAUCAAAAACAUAACUAUAGGUAGGUAUCCAUAGCGAUUUCUGCUCCAUGUGAAAAUAAAUAGCCGCAGUACCCUGACUGUGCUAAGGUAGCAUAAUCAAUAGGCUUGUAAUUUAAGUCUGGUAUGAAGGAAGAUUUGGGGGUUUCCUGUCUCACCUGAAGUUGAUGGAAUUUUUUUAAAAAGUGCAAAAACUUUUACAUAAUCAUUAGACGAGAAGACCCUAGAAAUUUUUUAACUUAUUUUGUUGGGGCGACAAAGUAACAAUUAACUUACUUAUAUUUAUCUGAAGUGGAUAUACAGAAUGUAAAAAUUACUCUAGGGAUAACAGCAUAAUUUCUGCGGAGUUUGUGACCUCGAUGUUGGACUAGGUAUUAUUAAGUUUAGAAGAUUUAAGUUUGAGCUCUGUUCGAGCGGUAAUUACCUACAUGAUCUGGAUUCAGACCGGA
rnacentral:rRNA from 1 species